UCACAAGGAAGAAGCAGAAAGAUGAGAAAGAAGAGGAUGAGGAGCAAAGGGAGACGAGAGAUGCACAGCCAAGAACUUCUCCUGGCGUUCCUGCUGGUCCCUCCUGCUGACUUGUGCUUAGGCUGAGGCCUGGCCAUCUCUGCCUAGGUAGUGCCACCAUUGCGGAUGCAUUCUGCUAUCCCUGCCUGUCAAAUUGGACUGCUGGUAUAGUUAUGAAGUAUUUGUGAGUGGAUCAAGCUGCUGCUGCUGCUGCUGACCUGUGAUCUGAACUGCUGACUUUCUGACACUGCAGACAGGAGUUGCUCCAAAGAACCAUUUCUAAAGAGAUCCACUUCCCCCGUAUCCUUUCUUUCCCACUACCUGUGAUGGGCGGUGGGCUAGAAGGAAGGUUAAAGCAUUUAAGAACCAUCAUUAAAAGUAGGCUUUGAAAAACUUAAAGCUAUAACUUAUCAUUAAGGGAUGCCCUUGCCCCAGCCAGGACCCGCUCCUGACCCCUGGUCUUGUCUGUCAUUCUCA
rnacentral:lncRNA from 1 species